CCGCCCAAGGAUGGGGCCGCGACCGAUCAGGUUGUUGGUGAGGUAAUGGCUCACCAAGCCUUUUACCGGUGCGGGCCGUGAGAGCGGGAGCCCGGAGAUGGGCACUGAGACAAGGGCCCAGGUCCUACGGGGCGCAGCAGUCGCGAAAACUUUGCAAUACACGAAAGUGUGACAGGGUCAUCCCGAGUGCCGACCGCUGAGGUUGGCAUUUACCCAGUCUAGAAAGCUGGGGGAAUAAGGAGAGGGCAAGUCUGGUGUCAGCCGCCGCGGUAAUACCAGCUCUCCGAGUGGUGUGGACGUUUAUUGGGCCUAAAGCAUCCGUAGCUGGCUGAACAAGUCCCCUGUUAAACCCACCGAUUUAAUCGUUGGCGUGCGGGGGAUACUGCUCGGCUAGGGGACGAGAGAGGCAGACGGUAUUCCCGGGGUAGGGGUGAAAUCCUAUAAUCCCGAGAAGACCACCAGUGGCGAAGGCUGUCUGCUGGAACGCGCCCGACGGUGAGGGAUGAAAGCUGGGGGAGCGAACCGGAUUAGAUACCCGGGUAGUCCCAGCUGUAAACGAUGCAGACUAGGUGUUUGGACGGCCACGUUCCGUUCUAGUGCCGCAGGGAAGCUGUUAAGUCUGCCGCCUGGGGAGUACGAUCGCAAGAUUGAAACUUAA
rnacentral:rRNA from 1 species